GGCUAUCUGUGUACCUCCCCUUUGUCCGGAUGGUCUUCUACUCUUCUUCAUGUUGCAGGGGCCACCGCCCUCGGGGCUCACUAGCAUGUCCAUUAGCUGCUGCUCCUGCUACACCACAUCUCUAAUUAACCCGCAAAAAAAAACAGGAUAAAAAAAGCAAAUGAUCCAAGUUCGAGUUAGUCAAGGAGUGACCUGAUUCUUAUGGAACCAAUCGAAAGAUAUGAUCCCUCUUUGUAGAUGCAAAUAACAUCUUUCAACAUUGUACAAUUCUUCUUCUACAAGUACUCAUGAGAGUUAAAAUAUGCGUCCAUGCACCAUCCAUUUGCAGCAUUGUGACCACAAGUGGCACCUCCAGUAGGAAAAUAUAUGC
rnacentral:lncRNA from 1 species